GAGGGUAUAGCUCAGUAGUAGAGUGCCUGCCUAGCAUGCACAAGGUCCUGGGUCCAAUCCCUAGUACCUCCA
rnacentral:tRNA from 1 species